GCCAUAGCUCAGUGGCAGAGCAUCUGCCUUGCAUGCAGAAGGGCACAGGUUCUAUCCCCAGGUGGGGCU